UGGUUAUCCAAGGGGCAGUGCUGAGC
rnacentral:piRNA from 1 species